UUUACAAGAUAGAAAUCAGGUGGAGUUUAACAUGGAAAAUGUCAAUCCUUUUCCACCAUGGACCAUUGCAAAUCAACCAUCAAAUUUUAGAGUAUAUUACAUCUUAUCAUGUGUGUCUCACACUAGAUCCAACUAUCCAUUUUCUACAACUCAUCUCCCUCAAUCCGGAUCUGCACAGUUUUAAUUUGUCCAAUUCUCAAUUCCCGACAUCUGGUAAGAAAGAUUCAACUCUUGAGAUCAAACAUUAUCUGAGAAGUAACAAAACAUUGAAACAAUGCCAAGUUCUCUCGCAUCUCCUGGAUAUCCUCAUGUUCUCAAAAUCUGGUUGUUAUAUGCAUCAGACUCACCGUCGCUGACUCACCGUCUUUCUCACCGUCGCGGUGUCCCCUUUUUCAGUUUUAUGAUGACAUCUAAGUGCAUGAAAUUGGAGAUAAUUUAGUAGUGCAUGUUUAAUCUUGCAAGGUGAAGGCUUGGAUUUUACAAUUCUUUGAUCUCUCGUGAAAUUAAUUAAGUGUUUUAAUGACUAAUACCUCAAAUUCGUCCUUGAAUUUUGAAAAUCGGCCAAUUUCAUCCCUGAAUUUUGCGAAAUAUCAAAUUAGUCCCUGAAUUUUGCAGAAGUCCAUCAAAUUCGUCCCUCCGUCCAAAAGGUCCGUUAAUAGUGAUGAUGUGGCUUCUUGCAUGCUUUGUUGUCCUGUACACGUGUCAGCAAGUCAGCCACGUGUACAAGGACUAAAUUGAUGGAAAUGGUCAAAAUUUGAUAUUUAACAUUUCAGUCUCUUUUUUCCUGUGUUUCCAAUUAUACCCCUCUAUUACAUGUAUUGUCCUGGAUCGAUUUGAGACUUACUGUCAUAAUUUGAGGACUAAUUUGAUGAAUUUUGUUAUAAUUUAAGGGCUCAUAUGAUUGAUUUUAUUUGCAGAGAAUGAGUACAAGGAGAUAUGGCAUGAGAGGACCAAUGAAUUCAAAUGACAUGCAUAAACAAACACCACUGAGGGGUCCUGCUCCACAAGAUCCAACUGCUCUUGGAGUUAUUAGAAUUUCAAAUCCAAAUUACGGGUCAUCCGCUUCUACUCAACCCCAAUACAUGGAGUUUAUCCCAGCUCCAGAAUUUCCAAAGCAUUGAUGCAUGUUUAAAUUAUGUUUUUGGACUAGUUUAAUUAAUGCUUUUUGGACUUGUUUAGUUUACGCUUUUUUGGAUAUAUAAUCACUUAAGAACAUCAAAUGAUUUGAUGACUAUGUAAUGUUAUUUUUUUGGCUAUGUAAUGACUUAUGAACAUCAAAUAUAUGACUUAUGAUGGUAUGAAAAUGUCCGUCUUUUUAUAAUCAAAGUGUCUGUCUUUUACUUUUUACUUUGUUCAGCAAAUGUAUGCACCAAGGAUCACAGUGAUAUCUGUUGUGAAAAUUCAAGGACCUAUUUGAUGGUAUUUAAACUAAUUUGAGGAUCGAUAUGAUGGAUAUGGAUAUAAUUCAAGAACCAAUUUGAUUGAAAUAUUUUGACAUAAUGGUUUGGUUCAUUCAUCGACAACCUCUUUUCAUUACAACAUUACAUGGACUUGGCAUAAUACAAUAUUAUUUUAAACAACUCAAUCAAACAAAAUACUCCUAUCAAUAUCUUAAUCAACCUAAGCUCACUUCCUACACAAUCAACUUUAUCCAUCAACCUUGUCCUCCAAAAUACACCUAGAGCUUGAAGAUGAAUACCGGUUGUUGUAGUUGUUUUUGCCCAUUUGCGCACCACCCAUCAAUUUUGAACACCGAAUCUACAAGGCAGACCACUUGAUUUAUGAAUUUUGAAUUUAAUCAAAAAAAUUAGGGUUAUAAGUUUUUUGAAUUGGGGAAGAAAUUUGACAUCAAUUCAUGGAAGAAAUUUUGGGGAUUUUGAACUUUGUAAGGAAUUAUAACAUUAGGGUUCCAAAUUUAUAUAUUUGGGGAAGAAAUAGCCCUUAAUGAGGAAGAGAAGAAAGAGCUGUUACUCACAAAGAAGGGAAAGAGCCGCUGCCAAUUUUCUGAAAAUCCAUCAAUUUGGUCCUUGGAAAUUUUGUGUAAAUUCAUCAAUUUGGUCCUUGGAAAUUUUGUGUAAAUCAAUCAGUUUGAUCCCUGCUUGCGUGGCAUCUUACGUGGUAAGCUUUGUCAGAGGUUAACGUUACACGUCACCUCCAUUAACAGACCAACUUAACGGAGGGACUGAUUUGUUUGAUAUUUUGUAAAUUCAUGGACUAAUUUGAUAUUUCGCAAAAUUCAGGAACGAAAUUAGCCGAUUUUUCAAAAUUCAAGGACGAAUUUGAGGUAUUAGUCGUGUUUUAAUCUCAUGUUUAACGAUGGCGACGACGACAGCGAGAAGAUGUAGCGGAGG
rnacentral:lncRNA from 1 species